GGGGAUUUAGCUCAGUGGUAGAGCGCUUUGCCUAGCAAGCGCAAGGCCCUGGGUUCGGUCCCCAGCUCCA
rfam:Rattus norvegicus chromosome 5, whole genome shotgun sequence.